CUAACACUUACUCUACAAUUUUACGCAGUUUGGCGCUUAUGCAGGUUCAACUCGGUCUAAUUCUCUGUGGUAAUUCCGCUGCUCUCAGUCAGUAUUAUGCCCAAGAUCAAKUUAACCUAUUUUUCAGGGCAGUGGGGUUACUCAAACACAGUUUUCAGUGGAGUAUGAGCCUUCAGCUUUAAACACAUGCUCYAUGUUUUUUAUUAAAUGCAUUUUUUUCUGUUUUCUGGCGAGCAGGUGGGUGAACCCUGGCACUAAUGCAGUCUGUCCUCUUCUGAACCCAGGAAACCUGGCUGCGCGAGCGUGGUUCCCAAGCUCUUCACGCAGGUUUCCCGUGUCAGAUUUAUGAAUGAAGAACCUGGAGGUGGCUGAUCCUGGGAGUUCCUUCUUGCAUCCUGCUUGGUCUCGUGAACGCGUACGGUCUGAGUCCAUCCAAAGCAAAACGUGAGAAAGGUGAAGCAUCCCUAGCAGAAGGCUGACCAGGUUCUGUGACUCGAUACAUAUGUUAAUGAACAUCAGGUGGAAAAAAACGUGGGCAUUCAAAUUAAGGACUGGAGUAAUAGUUAGAAAAGAAUGGGCCCUCGUUACCAAGCACAAAAACGUACCUUCAGGAGAAAGGCUCCCUGGCAUAGCAGGUGGGAUGGGAUAUCUGGGAGCAUGUUUAAGGUAAGCCCAUCAGCAGCAUUUUCCUGCCGACUAUUCUUUCCUGUUUUCUAACCAUGCCUUUUUCAGGGCACCAGCUAACUUGUGCGCUGCUCAUUUUAGACCCCGUGCGAAUGCCGUGGUCACUGUGUACUGCACGAAGGCUUUUACACCUGAGGUUUUCAUCAGCUCUAGUCCUAGCUUCUUCCAGAGACAGACAGUAGCUGUAGGUUGUGGGGUAUCGUCAGAGUGAGCCUGGAUUUUUCAGGAUGUGCAUUUACGUUUAGAUAGCCUAAUUCUCUUGUCAGCUCUACAUCUAAGUGGGCACAAUCCAAAUUGCUCUGUGCAAAAAUCUCCUACUAAGCCAGAGAGCUGGCCUUCAAUACUAGAGUGCCGAUAAAAUGAGAUUCAGUGGUUGCAGAAAUCCAAACUAAAGCCCAGAAGUAAAGUACCAAUUACCAGUAAAGGCAGUUAGUCAUUGAGACAUAUUACAAAGGUCUGCACUAAAUUUACCAUAACUAGGAGCUGUUCUCGAAAGUGUGGGGCAGUUUUUCCGCCAGUUACAGGAUCGGACACUGGAAUCACUGGGCGAUACUCUGUGGUUUGUUUCAUGCAGGUAAGUUGUGCUGCUUGAUUAUAAUGGUUCUUCUGGUUUAUGCAUAAUGAAUCAUCCCGUGAUUAAAUCACUAUGAAGACUCAAAUGGUACGCAGAUAGAGACAAAACCACUUUCAGCUAUGCUAACACUGAUGGAAUAUAAUUUUCUUUACUGUAAUUUAAAUAUGYACGGUGUUGUUCCUGUCAUUCGUAAGUGUAAGUUUCUUAUAGAGUUAACAGAUUCUGUUUCAGUCUUUGUUGUGUAAAAACAGUAUUAUGGAUGCAAGUGAAAUGUAAAUCUUCUAAGAAUCACAUUGAAAUUCAUGGAGCAGAUACAGAAAUUCCACUGCUUGCUGUAUUCGCAUUCAGUGCGUUAUGUAUUUACUUAAUGCUAGAGAUGGAAGAUUAAAACAAAAUCAUUGUCUCAAAAAACACCAGUAAACAGGCUUAGAGUCUACUCUCUCCCUUAGGACUGAGUACCAUUUCCAGGCAAAGGAAGUACUCUGUGCAAGCAAGAGCUGCAAAGUCAUUCCCUAAAUGAGACAGCGAGGAGGGGAAAAAAAAAAAGAAUCAAGGACUGAGUGCCAGAGUGAGAACAGACAGCAGAGGAGGAAUAAUGGGUGAGAGAAAGCUAAAGAGAAGACUCUGAAGGAUGAUAGCUCUUCUGGAUGAAAAGGCUGACUUGAAAUAAUUCAGGCUGUUCCUGCUCUGUGGUGCUCCUGGGGAAGCACCUGGCUUAAGGCAAUUUAUCCAGCUGUCAGCUUGUUUUCACACAGACAAUAAAUGCAUCCUGGGAUUGUGACUUCA
rnacentral:lncRNA from 1 species